rnacentral:rRNA from 1 species
GACAGAGGAUGCAAGCGUUAUCCGGAAUGAUUGGGCGUAAAGGCGUCUGUAGGUGGCUUUUUAAGUCUGCCGUCAAAUCCCAGGGCUUAACCCUGGACAGGCGGUGGAAACUACCAAGCUGGAGUUACGGUAGGGGCAGAGGGAAAUUUCCGGGUGGAGGCGGUGAAAGUGCGUAGAGAUCGGAAAGAACACCAACGGCGAAAGCACUCUGCUGGGCCGACACUGACACUGAGAGACGAAAGCUAGGGGAGCGAAUGGG